UACGUAGGGUGCAAGCGUUAAUCGGAAUUACUGGGCGUAAAGCGUGCGCAGGCGGUGAUGUAAGACAGUUGUGAAAUCCCCCGGGCUCAACCUGGGAACUGCAUCUGUGACUGCAUCGCUGGAGUACGGUAGAGGGGGAUGGAAUUCCGCGUGUAGCAGUGAAAUGCGUAGAUAUGCGGAGGAACACCGAUGGCGAAGGCAAUCCCCUGGACCUGUACUGACGCUCAUGCACGAAAGCGUGGGGAGCAAACAGG
rnacentral:rRNA from 1 species